rnacentral:rRNA from 1 species
CGUAGGUAACCUGCCUGGUAGCGGGGGAUAACUAUUGGAAACGAUAGCUAAUACCGCAUAACAGUAGAUGUUGCAUGACAUUUGCUUAAAAGGUGCAAUUGCAUCACUACCAGAUGGACCUGCGUUGUAUUAGCUAGUCGGUGGGGUAACGGCUCACCAAGGCGACGAUACAUAGCCGACCUGAGAGGGUGAUCGGCCACACUGGGAUUGAGACACGGCCCAG